rnacentral:lncRNA from 1 species
CUUAGCCAGGAAGAUGCCACCCACAUUUUAGGGGGCAGCCUGAGCCUUUUCCCAAGCAAGAUGCCUCCUGGGGAGACUAGUGCAGACAGGCAGUUCUGAUUAUGUAUGCAAAUACAGGUCUGGCCCUGAAGCUUAUUUGAGAGCCACACAGCUCAGCUAAGCCACCCUGGAGAAAGAAUCUUACAAAGAAUACUAAAGAGCAUCCAAGUGUGAAGAAUGAAACACACAAUGCACAUGAAGUCCAGCCAUGGUGUAGCCAAGGAGACCCACUAAGACCACCAAAAGCUUGGAAAUGAGGAUGCAGGGGCAAAGGACGGCAUUAUAGGCGCACACUUGAUUUCCUAGAAGUCUCGGACAAACUUUGGCAUGCAGACAGCUUUCCACUUCAAGAGUUUGCCCUUCACUUCUGACAUCACUCUCCAGAAUCAUGAGCACAACCCAGAAAUGUGGUUCUUGAGACCACCUUGCAAAUAAAUGACCUAUACCCAAUCUUCAUCUCAGCAUCUGUUUUGAGGGAAUUCAAACUAAGACAGGAGCCCAGAGAAGCUAAAGGAUUUCUGUUCCUUUUCCCUGGGGAGGCUACUCUUCCCACUAAAUGAACUUCUUUUCUGAAGAUCCACUGAACUGGCAGAGUCCAUUCAAUGAGACAUCUUGAGCCUCAGCCCCUGAAGCUCCACGCCAAGGCUCUCAACAUGAUUCUAUUCCAUGUGCAUUCAUUCUGUUGAAUAAACCACAGUUCAGCUUUGUUCAGUAAUGCUUUACUUGAAACUUUCCUUAAUAUAUUAUAUUUUAUAACUCAUUUGCAUAAACACAUAGUAUUGUAUUUAUGUUUAUAGUAUACAUAUUUUCUUAGGACACAUUUUCUAUGCCAUAAUUGGAUUGCUGUGCUUGUUUAUGUUACUUGUAUUACUAAUUAGGGAACAAGUCAGGCCUCCUGAUCCCCAAGUCCACACACAUUAACCCACUGUGGCCACUGACAGCCCUACUAGGCUCCUCUAAAAGCUCAACAGAGAGACUUUCCAGCAAAGUUCCUCUGCUUAAUGACAUAUGACUUUGACCUCAAUCCCCCAUGCACCCCUGUGAGGAACCCCUGGAUCUAGUGAGCAAAGGUGAAUCAUGGCAAGCCACAGGAUUCCAUUGCUCCUCUGGCCUAAGGCCCAGACUGAAGUAUGUCCAUGCAUCAUCUUUUUCUCUGCCCCAUCCAGUUCCUGCCAGGGUUCCUUCAAUGUGGGAAGGGCCACUCCUAUGACAUCAGCCAUAGGGGAGAAUUCUCAAAAGGUUGCUUUCCGAGGGAAGAUAAAAAAACAAAACAAAACAAAACAAAAACCAUUAUGCAUAUACAAAACCCUUUAACCUCCUGGCUAGGCACAGUCAAAGAUCACCUACCCACUCCUGGGCCCAAUAAUAUCCUUGACCUUGACCCAUUUCUACCAGUCCUCCUCCUCCCCAGAGCAGAGGGAGGAGAGAGAAGCCUUGAGCUCCCCCUAGAGGUUACAUGUUUCCACUUACUGUUUCUUUAUCAAGUGUUGGGAGUUUGUGAAGAAUAAAGAUACUUAUCUAUUGAAGAACAGACUUAUGUAGGGGCUACAUAUUGGUAAUACACAUUAUAUAUACUUCAUAAUUUCAUAUCUGAGCCAAGCAUGAUUAAAAACAAAGUAUGAACUAUAUACUCUGUGCAAUGCUUAGAAAAACAAUUGUCAAGAGUCUCUCAGUAAAUACUAUCACAGUCUCACUCUUGAAUAACAAAACUAUGUUAUUAUAUGUGUGAUUAUAAAUUGGAAAUAUGUAAUAUGGGUGACUACUUAAGAAAGAACUAAAGAACAUUAUUGUGAAUCCUGUCUCCUGCUACUAGGGAUAAAUGUAAAUUGGGUGAGGUCAUGAUUACUCAGGCCCCAUUUUGAGUUCAAGAUGAAUAAACACAGACAGAUGAGGACUGUAAUACUCCCUGUGGCCACCACAAGGCUAACAAAAUACCUCUAUGCAAGCAAUAUAACUACAGAAACAAACCUGGCACACUUACAUUAUAUUUUUCUAGGUACCUGGUAAUCUUUAUGACCGAUAUGGCCUUGCACACUUACAUUAUUUUUUUCUAGGUACCUCGUAAUCUUUAUGACCGAUAUGGCCUAUAACACUGUCCAAUCUGAGUGUAGAAGUCUGAACUUCAAGCUCCAGCUCAACCACUAAAUAGCUGAUAAACCUCAUGAAAGUUUCUUAACGUCUCUGAACCAGAAAUUCCUUAAUGGUGAUGUGAAGCUAAUGGUAUUACAGCAUGUUUUUAUGCUGAUGGAAAUGAUCCAGUGAAGAGAGAAAAACGGAAGAAGCAGGAGAGAGAAGAGAUAACUGCAAGACCCAGGCCUUGAAUAAGCAAUAGAGGAUGGGAUCCAGUUCACACCUAGUGGGGCUAACCUGGCAUAUAAUAACACAAAGUUCAUCCAUUUUAUUAGGAGGAAAAGCAGAGUUUGUGAGUAUAGAUUUGGGUAGGUAGGCAGAUGGUGUGGUGGAAAGGAAGCAAGUUCUCUGCUUCCAUCUUAGGGAAGUAAGGAAGAAGGUCAUCAGCUGAGAAGAAGGAAGGGGGAGGAAUUGUUGGAGGUUAGAGUAAAGGUGAAAAAGUAUGAAAUAGUCAUCUCAGAGAAUGAGGAGAGAGAAUUGACUGGGGAAAUGCGAUAAGAUUGCUUGGCUGCACUGAGGUCCCACUAGAGGUCUGCCAUCAUAAAUUUCAAGUGAGACCGGUCAGAAAUGGUUGAGUGUUUUUCACCAGCUUGCUUAACAAGGGCAAGCAAAAUAAUGGAGUUGAGAGAAUGUACAAGGAAUUGACAAUAUGUGCAAGAAGUGGUUAUGGGAAUGGGCUGUGGACUCUAAGGUGAAAUAGGAGAAUAAGGAGAGAGUAAAGGAGGUAAGAUGCAGUGAAAAGUUGGUGCAAUGGCGGGACUGGGGACCUAAAGGGGCCCAAGAUUGAUUGGCUUCAGAACACUAGAGAAAGAGAGCUGGGAUGAUAUGAGGUGGGAAUAUGGGAAGCUGGAAACUAAGGCUUGGGAAUGGAGCAGUUUUGUUAAUGCCACCUUGGCAAUAGGUAGCUGAGAUGGAGAUGAUAAAGACCACAGAAAGUGAGGAUGUCAAGGCAAUGAGAGGUCACAAUGUUGGAAGGUCUCUCUAGGUGUUUGUUGAAAUGACAAAGAGUUAAGAAAUUUGUAGUGGUGGAGAGAAAGAUAGUGUUCCUGGUGAUAAAAUCUUCAGUGAAAAGCAGUGAUGGUGUGUGUCUGAUAGAAGAUGAUUGCAAUAGGGAGAUUGUGGCAGCCACAAGAAUGCCCUUCUCAGACCUCUUACUGGCAGGAGUGUAACUGACCUGUGGCUGCACUCUGAAAUCCAUUAUCACAUUGAAGCCACACCCUCCACCAGCUGCUCUCAGCCAUGAGUGAGCACAGCAGGGACACUAGGGCAGGCGCCUCAAUGGGAGAUGCAGGAUUCCUCUGAUCUGCCCCUUUGGCCCAAGGACUCCUCAUUAGUUUUGCCAAAACUUUCUUAGACAUGCACUGAAGUCAGACUUUCCCAGUUACCCUUCCUUCUACAGAAUUAGACCUGCAUCAUGUGUGAAGGCUCUCUCUGCUUCCUCCAGCUCCCUCUCCAUUUUUCCCCCCAACAGGUAGUUUCUCUAGUAAAUCUCUUGCAUGUCUAAUCUUGUCUUAGUGUCAACUUUUCAGAUGACCUGAGCUAGCAGAGAGAGGAUAUGGGGAGUGUAUUGGUCCAUUUUGUGUUGCCAUAAAGGAAUACCUGAUACUGGAUAAUUUAUAGAGAAAAGAGAUG